UUGUUUGUUUGUAAUUAUUUAUUUAUUUAGAAUUUUCUCUUCUUUUUUCAUAUUAAUCUAUAAUAAAUUGCUCAUGGACGGUUUGGAGUGAAAUGAGUGGAUUAAGGGAGAUCUCAAUGUCUGCUUCCCAGCAUGCAUAUCAAGGUAAGUUAGACCAGGAACAUACUUAGGGUGGCAAGCCGUCUUCAAUUUUUGGUUGUCCUGCAAAGAGGAGCUUUUGGAGUCAAAUAGAGCAACUUGCUUUGUUGGUUUCUGUGCUGCAUUCUUUGUUCAAUUCAAGUUUGUUCUUUGGGAAAUUCUAAUACGAUUAUAGUAAACAUGUGUAACACGCCUGCUCCCAUGUAAUUCAUUAAACACACGUGCCUUUAAUCA